rnacentral:rRNA from 1 species
GAUGAACGCUGGCGGCGUGCCUAAUACAUGCAAGUCGAGCGAACGGACGAGAAGCUUGCUUCUCUGAUGUUAGCGGCAGACGGGUGAGUAACACGUGGAUCCCCUACCUAUCAUUCUGGGAUAACUUCGGGAAACCGUAGCUUAUACCGUAUAAUAUUUUGAUCCGCAUGGUUCAAAAGUGAAAGACGGUCUUGCUGUCACUUAUGGAUGGAUCCGCGCUGCAUGAUCUAGUUGGUAGGGUACCGGCUUACCAAGGGAACGGUGCAUAGCCGACCUGUGAGCGGGUUGCGCGACAGAGGGAGUGAGCGGCCAUCCAGAGUCCGAGGGAGGCAGCAGUAGGCAAUGGUACGCAAUGGGCGAAAGCCUGACGGAGCAACGCCGCGUGAGUGAUGAAGGUGUUCGGAGCGUAAAACCCGGUUAUUAGGGAAGAACAUAUGUGGAAGGAACUGAGCACAGCUUGACGGUACCUAAUCAGAAAGCCACGGCUAACUACGUG